rnacentral:rRNA from 1 species
UGGGGAAUAUUGCACAAUGGAGGGAACUCUGAUGCAGCGACGCCGCGUGAGUGAUGAAGGAAUUCGUUUCGUAAAACUCUGUUCUAUGGGAAGAAAAGGACUGUACCAUAGGAGAAAGCUCCGGCUAAAUACGUGCCAGCAGCCGCGGUAAUACGUAUGGAGCGAGCGUUGUCCGGAAUUAUUGGGCGUAAAGGGUGCGCAGGCGGCUUUACAAGUUGGAUGUGAAAUAUUGUGGCUCAACCACAAACGUGCAUCCAAAACUGCAAAGCUUGAGUUAAGGAGAGGUAAGUGGAAUUCCUGGUGUAGCGGUGGAAUGCGUAGAUAUCAGGAGGAAUACCGGUGGCGAAGGCGACUUACUGGACUUAAACUGACGCUCAGGCACGAAAGCGUGGGGAGCGAACAGG